UUUUGACUAACAGCGCUCUUAUUUUGAAAUGAAGGUAAACUGAGUGGAGAGUUUCCUUCCCCUCAUCCAUUUGUCUGAAAAAAGUGACCUCGUGAGAACGAUGCACAGGGGGAGCGAGUCAACAACGAUGGUCCCUCCAGAAGUGUAUAUCACCCACAAUGCUUUUCAGAAGUAAGAAGCUACGUAGCUCAACUGUUUCCUUUUAGUAUGGUUUUCGGCAUGAAGCUGGACUCACUGGUGACGGUGGCAGAGAGGAGGACACUGGACAAACUGCUGGACAUUAUUGACAAUGCCAGCCACCCCCUACACACCGUCAUCAGCAACCAGAGGAGCCUGUUCAGUGGAAGACUGCUCCUCCUCAACAGACUCAAGAACUCCUUUGUCCCCCAUGCCAUUGUACUCUACAACCCUUCACUCGGGGGGAGGAAGAAAUAGGGUAAAGAGGACAGAAGGGAAGGAGUGGAAGCCACUCACUGUGCAAUAACUGUGCAAUAAUAAUCUACUCAUACAUACCUGGACACUCUUCUUACUUAUUUUUUUGUGCAAUAACUUGAUCCACCACUUAAGUGCAAUAAUUUAAUUUAACUGCUAAUUUCUGCUUAAUGUCAUUUAUCCACUGUUUAACAACCACUUCUUAUCUCUACUUUCUAUAUAUAGCUAAGAGUUUAUUGUUUAUAUUGUUUAUCUUUUUUAUACCUCUUUAUUUUUCUUUAUUUUUGUAAGCUGCUGGAAAUUCAAUUUCCUUGCGGGAGUCAUCCCAAAAGAAUCAAUAAAGAGAAGUCUAAGUCUAAGUCUAAGGCUUUAUGA